CCCUUAUAUGUUCUGGGCCGCACGCGCGCUACACUGACGAUGGCAACGAGUUUUUCCUUCGCCGAAAGGUGUGGGUAAUCUUUUGAAACAUCGUCGUGCUGGGGAUAGAUCAUUGCAAUUUUUGAUCUUGAACGAGGAAUUCCUAGUAAGCGCGAGUCAUCAGCUCGCGUUGAUUACGUCCCUGCCCUUUGUACACACCGCCCGUCGCUACUACCGAUUGAAUGGUUUAGUGAGGACUCCUGAUUGGCGCCGCCGCCCCGGCAACGGAGCAGCGGACUGCCGAAAAGUUGUUCAAACUUGAUCAUUUAGAGGAAGUAAAAGUCGUAACA
rnacentral:rRNA from 1 species